CAAUACCGCGUGUGUGAAGAAGGCCUGAGGGUUGUAAAGCACUUUUAAUAGGGAGGAACAUCUACCGGCCAAUACCCGGUCGUCUGACAUUACCUAUAGAAAAAGCACCGGCUAACUCCGUGCCAGCAGCCGCGGUAAUACGUAGGAUCCAAGCGUUAUCCGGAAUUACUGGGCGUAAAGCGUGCGCAGACGGUUUGAUAGGUCAGUUGCGAAAUCCCAUGGCUCAACCAUGUGGACUGUAAUUGAAACCAUCUGACUAGAGGUAGGUAGAGGCAAGUGGAAUUUCUGGUGUAGGGGUGACAUCCGUAGAUAUCAGAAGGAACACCAAUGGCGAAGGCAGCUUGCUGGGCCUUACCUGACGUUCAGGCACGAAAGCGUGGGGAGCAAA
rnacentral:rRNA from 1 species